rnacentral:rRNA from 1 species
UACAGAGGGGCAAGCGUUAUUCGGAAUUAUUGGGCGUAAAGAGCGUGUAGGCGGCUUGGUAGGUCUCGCGUCAAAACCUGAGGCUCAACCUCAGUCGCGUGGGAAACCACCUAGCUAGAGUCCGGAAGAGGAGAACGGAAUUCCCAGUGUAGCGGUGAAAUGCGCAGAUAUUGGGAAGAACACCAGUGGCGAAGGCGGUUCUCUGG